GAACCCUUCGGGGUAAUGUUUAUGGAAUGAGCGGCGGACGGGUGAGUAACACGUGGGCAACCUGCCUGUAAGAUCGGGAUAACUCGCGGAAACGUGAGCUAAUACCGGAUAACACUUUUCAUCUCAUGGUGAGAAGAUAAAAGACGGUUUCGGCUGUCACUUACAGAUGGGCCCGCGGCGCAUUAGCUAGUUGGUGAGGUAACGGCUCACCAAGGCGACGAUGCGUAGCCGACCUGAGAGGGUGAUCGGCCACACUGGGACUGAGACACGGCCCAGACUCCUACGGGAGGCAGCAGUAGGGAAUCUUCCGCAAUGGACGAAAGUCUGACGGAGCAACGCCGCGUGAGUGAUGAAGGUUUUCGGAUCGUAAAACUCUGUUGUUAGGGAAGAACAAGUUGGGUAGUAACUGACCCAACCUUGACGGUACCUAACCAGAAAGCCACGGCUAACUACGUGCCAGCAGCCGCGGUAAUACGUAGGUGGCAAGCGUUGUCCGGAAUUAUUGGGCGUAAAGCGCUCGCAGGCGGUCUUUUAAGUCUGAUGUGAAAGCCCACGGCUUAACCGUGGAGGGUCAUUGGAAACUGGAGGACUUGAGUACAGAAGAGGAGAGUGGAAUUCCACGUGUAGCGGUGAAAUGCGUAGAGAUGUGGAGGAACACCAGUGGCGAAGGCGACUCUCUGGUCUGUAACUGACGCUGAGGAGCGAAAGCGUGGGUAGCGAACAGGAUUAGAUACCCUGGUAGUCCACGCCGUAAACGAUGAGUGCUAGGUGUUAGGGGGUUU
rnacentral:rRNA from 1 species